UACGGACUGUGCAAACGUUAUUCGGUGUCACUGGGCUUAAAGAGUUCGUAGGCGGUUCGGUAGGUAAGGUGUGAAAGCUCUCGGCUCAACCGAGGAAUUGCGCUUUAAACCGCUGGACUUGAGGAAGAUAGAGGUGAGCGGAACUCACGGUGGAGCGGUGAAAUGCGUUGAUAUCGUGAGGAACACCGGUGGCGAAAGCGGCUCACUGGGUCUUUUCUGACGCUGAGGAACGAAAGCUAGGGGAGCAAACGGG
rnacentral:rRNA from 1 species